CCUACGGAUGGCAGCAGUGAGGAAUAUUGGUCAAUGGACGGAAGUCUGAACCAGCCAAGUCGCGUGAAGGAUGAAUGCCCUACGGAUUGUAAACUUCUUUUGUAAAGGAAUAAAGUGAGGCACGUGAGCCUUUUUGUAUGUACUUUAUGAAUAAGGAUCGGCUAACUCCGUGCCAGCAGCCGCGGUAAUACGGAGGAUCCGGGCGUUAUCCGGAUUUAUUGGGUUUAAAGGGUGCGUAGAUGGGGUGUUAAGUCCGGUGUGAAAGUUUGCGGCUCAACCGUGCAAUUGCAAUUGAGACUGGCAGGCUGGAGUACAGGAGAGGUAGGCGGAAUUCGUGGUGUAGCGGUGAAAUGCUUAGAUAUUACGAAGAACUCCGAUUGCGAAGGCAGCUUACUAAACUGCAACUGACACUGAUGCUCGAAAGCGUGGGUAUCAAACAGGAUUAGAUACCCUAGUAGUC
rnacentral:rRNA from 1 species